rnacentral:rRNA from 1 species
UACGUAGGUGGCGAGCGUUGUCCGGAUUUACUGGGCGUAAAGGGAGCGUAGGCGGACUUUUAAGUGAGAUGUGAGAUACUCGGGCUCAACUUGAGUGCUGCAUUUCAAACUGGAGGUCUAGAGUGCAGGAGAGGAGAAUGGAAUUCCUAGUGUAGCGGUGAAAUGCGUAGAGAUUAGGAAGAACACCAGUGGCGAAGGCGAUUCUCUGGACUGUAACUGACGCUGAGGCUCGAAAGCGUGGGGAGCAAACAGG